rnacentral:rRNA from 1 species
UACAGAGGUCCCAAGCGUUGUUCGGAUUCACUGGGCGUAAAGGGCGCGUAGGCGGACUCUUAAGUCAGGGGUGAAAGCCUGAGGCUCAACCUCAGAACUGCCUUUGAUACUGAGAGUCUCGAGACCGGUAGAGGUAAGUGGAACUGCGAGUGUAGAGGUGAAAUUCGUAGAUAUUCGCAAGAACACCAGUGGCGAAGGCGGCUUACUGGUCCGGUUCUGACGCUGAGGCACGAAAGCGUGGGGAGCAAACAGG